UGGGUUUUUAUCAUAUAAUGGCCUUGCUUUCGAGUGUACAUGAUAUUGAAAGAACAUAAAGAUUUGAUAUCAUAGAUAGCCAUAUACGCGAUUCAAAUAGUUUUUGACACAAGCGAUACAUUGCAGUUAUGUUAGUACUACAUGGUAAGAUAGGAUGAAAUGUUUGGAUUUGUUGGCAAUUGAUACAUUGUUCUUCCACAAGGAGAGAUUGUGUCCAUCUCUAUCACUCGAUUGGUAGGUCUCAUGGUCUUUGAUGGUUAAAUGGAGCCUCUUGACAACUUCUGCAAGCAUGUUUUCUCCUGUUUAUUUCACCAUGGAUUGGUGACAGCUGAAACACAUAGAAGCAGUAUAGAUUAAUGUCCUGGAAUUUAUCAAGUGAAAUAUAUGACUACACUUUUGAAGAUUCUCUAUGGGCAAUGUAGAAGAUCUAAGUCAGGCUGCUAAACCAACUACAAAAAUAAUAAUAUUUAGGCAAUAUUUCAAGUGAAUGGGUAAGGAAUUAAUAAGAUGGAGAGCUGCACUAUCAUCAUUAACAGAAGGAAAAAGCAUAGACAAUGAAGAAUAUUUGUCUCAGUUCAGAACAUACAUGAACAUGACUAUAGACACACAAGAUUUAUUUUCCACAAUAUGCACAAUUUAAUUUAAAGAAAUCCAUGUUGCUUUAUAGUAGGAAGAACACACCUGCAUUGACAAAAAUACAAAAAUGUAAGAUCCGAGUAAAUAUACAGAUAGGCGACACAAUAAAAUGUAAGGCAUGUCAACAUAGAGCACUGUGUCCAGGAGCAGUUCUUAGGAAUAGCAGUCAAAUACAUCAUAUAGUAAUGGGAUCCAACACAAUCAACCCAUGGUACCUUUUCUACAGAAAAAGCAUAAAAAAAUAUGAUAUAAAUGUUUCUUCUGAUCUUCUCUACCUAAUAUUAUCUGUCUGAUCUUCGUGACUAUGAUCAGUCUGAUAAAAUAUGCAAGCCAUAUGAUUACUACGAAAAGGAUGGACACAAAUUUGUGAGCUUCCUUGUGCACAAAUCAGAAUUCAUGUGUGUGGUUAUCAUUGGUAUACAUAGUGCUGACUGGUCUCUUAUACAGCAAGGUAGACGCAGAAGGCAGAGUAGCCUGUGAAAAUCAAAGUUACUGGGUUGCAGCUUUUUAAAUAACCAUGCUUUGCAACAACAGAAAAAAUCACUUUAAAUCUAUGAGAGAAAAUAAUGUAUUACCGACAGUAUGGAGGGGAGGAUGAAGGAGCAGCUCCCUCACUACCUCCUCUGGCCGCCUCUUCAAUUUCAUAGCCAUUCUCACAACCACUUUGAAAUAUGAAAAGGUUGAAGUACAUAAUAAUAUAGGAAAAAUAUUUUGCAGCCAUUAUCCCGAGGUGCACUCUUUUGACAAUGAUAAAUAUUAACCAUAUAUUGGAUAAUGAAAAGUACAACACAUAAGCAUACACUCCUUAUCACCAACAAUAUUUAUCAUUAGCCCCCAAAAAAGUCUCAAAUCUCAUGUGCGUGACUUAGAGCCAUGAUACAUACCUACGGACAAGUGAAUAAUUAAUAGGCUAUGCCUACGAAGAACAAACAAUAAUAAAACAACAUCUGACAUGGUAGAUUGGUAAAGAAUAGAAACAAUUACCCCUGUGAAAUAUUUUUGUAGCACUUAAUGCUUCAUGACACGGCAGGAGUAUCUAUCAUUGGUGUCACAUGCCUCAGAGCCAUCCACAACUUGAUGGAACAUUCACAAUGUACCAACAUGAUGAGAGCCUGUAUUACAUACAUCUAGCAUUAUUCACCAGUUGCGAAAAUGGAUACCAAAGAACAGCCAACUUAUCAAAUUUGUUGAAAAGUAAUCCAGAAAUUGAUGCCUAAUGAUCAGACUCAGGCCUCAGUACAAACAACGCCGUAUCGUUUUCUACCUCCAAAAGUAGUAUAUAUGUUUCAGUGGAAACCACAGAAGCUCCAGCAGCAAUAAAUAAAAUAAGGGGAACCAAAUAAAGAGGCAUUCCUCUGACGAGUUAACAUACCUCAACACACAUUCCCCGGAUCUCUCCUCUCGGAUAGAGACCAGCCGAAUUUGUCCCAUCGGAUGCCACCAGUAUCUGAUCAAGACCAGCAGUGACAGAAAAGAACCAAUUAUAACAAUGACAAAUCAUUGAGCUAGCAGACAAAAAUGAAGGAGCCAGUAAAAUGAACAAUCAAAAUGUACAGAGAGCUAAGAUGCUAUAGGAUGGAGGCGACUACGAUACUAUGCCCAAAUUUUGUUAUUUAUAUUGGCCUAAUUAUUUGACGCGGAUCUUUGAUGUAGCUCUGCAUUCAAACUGCUAGUCUGCGGCAACAGAAACUGAAACUAAAAAGAUCAGAAAUAAGGGGACAAAUAUUGUACAAACCAGCGAAUAGCUUCUUGAACCAAGCUUUAUAUUGACAGCAUUAAUCUUGACGCGUG
rnacentral:lncRNA from 1 species